CAGUCCGGGAGUGGGCAAGAGGAAGGCCAGAAGACCAGAACAUGGAUAUACCUCUAUACAAAUCAUGUGCCCUAGUAAAUUGUGAUAAUUGCAAGCAAUGAGAAAACAAUAGGUUCAACUUCAUGUUUUUCUGCUGUGUAUGGCAGGACAAGCCAUUCUCUACGCACUGUAGAGUCUGCCCAGGGUUAUUUAAGCUGUUUAAAUGGUACAGACUAUCUCAUCUGCAGAGGCUGGCUGCAAGAAAUUGCUGUCUGGGAGCAGCCAGGAAAGGAAUGCCACUUGCCAGUUAGUGCGCCAGAACGGAUGUCUCAAGACAGCAUGUGAAUGCUUCGGAAAGAAGUUGCACAAGCUCACUUUGUCACCAACAAAAGACGCCCCUAGGAACUCACAGCCCACCUGCUCCGCAUUUGACAUCGUGCUUCACAUUUGUCAAGGCUCUGGUUUUGGCAAUAUCCAUUGUGUAGCACAGUGACCUCUCUGCUUAGAGACAGAAAAGACUCCAAGCGUGAAACCUAAGCCGUGGUGUCUCCUAGUGGAGUCGAGUGCUAGGACAGCACGGCUGAGCGUGCUGGGACCAGAGCCUCAGGGCUCCUCAUAGCUUUGACACUCACGGGUCACUGAAUGACGUUCACUGGAUUGCUUCUUUAGACCAAGAGGUUUUAACUGUUUUUGUUCCACUCAAAAAGAGUGAAGAUCCGUGGAAGGCUGUAUAAACACUCAUUAUAUUCAUUCUAUUUGCAUGUAAUCAAGGCUAAAUCCCUGUUCAAAAUAGCUUUAUAAUCUAAGAGCUACUAAGGGAGGAGGAACACUGAGUCCUCAGAUGCUAGGGCAGCUGAGUAGGUGAAUCACAACAGCACCAGGCCUUUUAAAGCACUUUCAAAGCACUUCCUAUUGUUGUCAAAGGUUAGACAGAAACAGAUUUAUGCCCAGAAGUGCCUGAAAAGGCCACAGAAAUUUAUUUAUUUUAUUUUAUUUUUUCCCAAAAAGUGGAUGCUGUAUUUUCUGCCUGUUUGUCAGCAGCAGCAUCUCAAUGUCUCCUGCUAAGAACUACUCACAACCAUGCUUGCUUCACACUGCGUCCCAGCUCCUCGUUUUCAGCAGGAUUGGUACUGAUCUACCUAGAAGCUGCAAACAGUUCAUGCAUUAAUGUAUAGCCUAUAUCUCCAUUAACAAGAACAGUAGGGACUGAGUAUGGGUACAGUGGCACCCGUACUACUUACAGUGUCACUGCUGAAAUGUGAGUCAGCCCACUUCUCAACUUUAGCUUCUUUUUCCAAAUGG